AACGAACGCUGGCGGCAGGCCUAACACAUGCAAGUCGAGCGGACCCUUCGGGGUUAGCGGCGGACGGGUGAGUAACGCGUGGGAAUAUGCCCUUCUCUACGGAAUAGUCCUGGGAAACUGGGGUUAAUACCGUAUACGCCCUUUGGGGGAAAGAUUUAUCGGGGAAGGAUGAGCGCGCGUUGGAUUAGGUAGUUGGUGGGGUAAUGGCCUACCAAGCCGACGAUCCAUAGCUGGUUUGAGAGGAUGAUCCGCCACACUGGGACUGAGACACGGCCCAGACUCCUACGGGAGGCAGCAGUGGGGAAUCUUAGACAAUGGGGGCAAACCUGAUCAAGCCAUGCCGCGUGAGUGAUGAAGGCCUUAGGGUUGUAAAGCUCUUUCAGCUGGGAAGAUAAUGACGGUACCAGCAGAAGAAGCCCCGGCUAACUCCGUG
rnacentral:rRNA from 1 species